rnacentral:rRNA from 1 species
CUCCGGUUGAUCCCGCCGGACCCGACUGCUAUCAGAGUGGGACUAAGCCAUGCGAGUCAACGCAGCAAUGCGUGGCAUACGGCUCAGUAACACGUAGUCAACAUGCCCAGGGGACGUGGAUAACCUCGGGAAACUGAGGAUAAACCGCGAUAGGCCAAGAUUUCUGGAAUGGAUAAUGGCUGAAAUCUAUAUGGCCCCUGGAUUGGACUGCGGCCGAUCAGGCUGUUGGUGAGGUAAUGGCCCACCAAACCUGUAACCGGUACGGGCUCUGAGAGGAGGAGCCCGGAGAUGGGCACUGAGACAAGGGCCCAGGCCCUAUGGGGCGCAGCAGGCGCGAAACCUCUGCAAUAGGCGAAAGCUUGACAGGGUUACUCUGAGUGAUGUCCGUUAAGGGCAUCUUUUGGCACUUCUAAAAAUAGUGUAGAAUAAGGGGUGGGCAAGUCUGGUGUCAGCCGCCGCGGUAAUACCAGCACCCCGAGUGGUCGGGACGAUUAUUGGGCCUAAAGCAUCCGUAGCCGGUUCUGCAAGUCUUCCGUUAAAUCCACCUGCUCAACAGAUGGGCUGCGGAGGAUACUACAGGGCUAGGAGGCGGGAGAGGCAAGCGGUACUCAGUGGGUAGGGGUAAAAUCCUCUGAUCCACUGAAGACCACCAGUGGCGAAGGCGGCUUGCCAGAACGCGCUCGACGGUGAGGGAUGAAAGCUGGGGGAGCAAACCGGAUUAGAUACCCGGGUAGUCCCAGCUGUAAACGAUGCAGACUCGGUGAUGGGUUGGCUUCGAGCCAACCCAGUGCCGCAGGGAAGCCGUUAAGUCUGCCGCCUGGGGAGUACGGUCGCAAGACUGAAACUUAAAGGAAUGGCGGGGGAGCA